GCCGUUGUGGCCAAGCGGUUAAGGCGUUGGUCUUGUAAACCAAAGAUCACGAGUUCGAACCUCGUCAGCGGCU